CUUCCUAAUACCUUUCUGUAACAGAAGUACAUGUGAAUUAAGAUGAUCCAUGAAGUGUUUUCUCUACAUUAAAUAUUUUAAUGAAAAGCUAAAGAUUUCUGAUGUAAAAGUCAGAGUACAGCCAUGCUACAUAUCUCUGUGCAUUAUUUCGAUAUAUUUUUCUUAGAUUUUUAAAGAAAAUUAUAAAGACAUUUCUUUGCCUCUUUAUAACAGGAAAACUAUUUAAGUGUAGGUUUAAAAAUUUGUAAUGGUUUCCCAUCGCUAGGAAGCCGAAACCAGCUGGGAGGCCGAGCGAACCCACAACUCCUGAAACAGUAGCAGUGAGAAACGAGCGCCGCAGCAAGGAGGAAGGAAGCCCCGUUCAGUAGCGAUCCUUGUCAGAAGCGCGUCCCUCUGAACGCCACAUGUUGUCUCAAGACGAAUAAUUUUAAUUUUCCCAAGAGCCCUGGAUUCAGAGUCAUGAAUAAGAAAAUGACUGCAGAUCCACUCAGUGGAUUAAUUUUACUCUUAUAUUUCCUGCCUUCAAACUACGCAAAAAAUCCUAGUUCAAACUAUGCAGAAAAUUCUCGCACAUUACAAAAUUGUAGCAUUUUGCAUGUAAAUGAAUGGGUAAAUCCAGAAAGAAGAGAUUUUGAAAACUGGCAGUCUAAAACUUGAAAUUUAAUUUCCUAAUGUUCUAGCAACCUUGGAUGAUACUGUAAUAUUAGACUGUUUGCACGCUGUAAAAUGAAGAUUGCAAUGCUAACUCUAUAAUAUGAGUAAUAAAACAAGGUUAAGUGUUAAAGUCAUGAAAUAUAUUAGGGUCACACAUGCUAGUAGGCCUUUUAAGAUGGCUUUUCUUUUUUACUGACAAGAUACUUAAGGAUAAGAACAAUUACCUAAUCAAAAUAGUGCUCUACAAAAUCAGAUUUAAUGGCCAAAGGAUCGGAUUUUGGACCUGUCACAAGUUUUGUUGAGAAAUUCAGUUCAUUUAUCAGCAUGGAUGCUAUCUCACAUGCAAAACAAUUUUGGCUUUUUAGAAGUGUGGUCAGAAUUAAAUGAGAUACCAUAUAUAUAAACACCAAUUUGUUGCUGUUCUUAUAAAGGAGAAAGUAAAUCAUAUUAAGAUUUUCCCCAGGGCAUAGUGUAAAACUCUCACAGAGAUUUAUCAGUUAGUGAUUACCAGUGUCAGUUUGUUUUUCCAUUAUUAAAACUAAUUUUUACAUCUGUUUACUGGCCUGUUUUAGGAAUGGAAAUAACUACCCAUCAAGAUGAGUAGGCUUAGUUAUUUUAUUGUUUUCUGAUUUAUUAUUUUACAAACUGGCAAAGCAUUUACCCUUCCUUUCUCAAAAAACAUUCAAUAAACUUCAGCUCCUCAAAUAUUAGUACUUGAUUUCUCUUCUUUGCAGCAAUCAAAUGUUGAUAGAAGUGAAUCUGUAGGUAAAAAUUUUCAAAAACUUAGGAAACAUCAAGAGAAUCUUCUAGAUCCAAUUUCCAAAUGCAUAGCAACAUAUAUGCACAGCCGUAUUAAAAAUCAAACACAGCAUUUCAUUUCAGCCAUGCUGUUAUAGCCCAAGUGGUUGGGCUUACUGAAUUCUGCUGUGAUACUAGAGAAAACUGAAUUACUAUUCAGUACUCAUUUCUCCAAAUAUUUAAUUUGCCAGAGAUUGUUGAAAGGGUUUCAUUACAGGUAUUUAGGCAGGAUUAGGAAAUCCACUGGUGCUGAUUGUGUCCACACAGAUAUGUGAUAUUUGGCUCCCUAUAGCUACAUGCUUUGAGAUUGGAGUGUGAGGCUCCACGGUCCUGAGCUGUCUUUGCUCUGUAAUUGCAUGGGCUGACUUCACUGGGCUGAAUGUGUAUUGCAAUUGAACUAAAAUGGGUCUGUUUUUCACCAAGCACACUUUGGUCAUGCAUCAAUGCAUUUUUAAUUAAAAGUGGUGACAGGUACAAUGGUGAGGCAUGCCAAAUAACUUGCUCAAACAUUCUAUAUCCUCAAAGAUAGGCAAUCAGAAUUUUGUGUCUGUUAGUCAGGAAGAGAAUAUUUCCAUUAAAUAUUAGAAUAUUAAAUAUCUCAAAACUUAGUAAUACAUCAAUACAGUAAUACAGCAUUUCUGUUGUAAGUACUGUACCAUGGAUACUUCAUGCGGCUUCAUCAAAAUAAAAUAUUUAUUGUCGACAGAACUAAAAUUGGUGACAAACAAUCUGAUAGGCAUCCUCAUUAUAUUUUUACUGCUCACAAUGAAGACCUGAGAAAUUAGUAGUAGGGUGAAAAGCAGAGUCAAUUAGAAAAUGACUGUUUCAGUAGAACAGAAAUCACAGCAGAAACUUAGACACAGCAGAAUAAGGAGACACUUGAGAACAUCCACAUGAAGACCCAGGAACAACACUACAAUAUUGCUAUGUUGAUACAGAGAUCUUACAGAAAGGCUUAGCUCUCCAAAUAGUUUCUAAUUGAAAGUGAAACCUAGGUGAACAGCAAAGAAUGCAAAUUUUUGAAUCAUUUGCAUUUACAUAUAUUGAAGUGAAGUUCUCCAAAACCAAUGCCAUAAAUGUGAUUUGGCGAUUUUAUUUUUAUUUUGUUGUUUUUUGAGGUGAUUUGGCAAUUUUAGUUUGACUAAAAAUACUAAAAUGAGUGAUUUAAUCACAGAUGAAAUAAAUUUAAGAAAAUGGACUCUUUAAUGGUCAUGUGAUUUGAGAAUUGAUGUUCAUAUAUCAGUAUUUUACAUUUUAAAAAAAUUAACUCACACUUAAGCAAAUUAUAGUGUCAAAUAGGGUGGAGUGAAGCAUUGACUGAAGUCACUCAGGUCUGUUUUGUAUAAUUUGAUAUUAUUUCAGCCUGCAGAAUUAUAGAAAAGAACUUCAAAUCACAUAUAACAGCUGGGUUUCUAGGAUAUACACACAAAUAUCCAUAAAAAAUAUACAUAACCCAAUUUAAAAAUUAACAAAGCACUUGAGUAGAUAUUUCUACAACGAUAUUGAAAUUUUCAAUAUACACAUGCCCGAAAACACUAUGAUGAAAUAUAACAAAGUCCAAAUUACAAUUUGGAGGAGGUAUAUCUUCAUAUUGACUUACAAGUUUGAUCCUAGAAUAGUUAGUGAAAAUAACAGAAAAUAGCACGUAUGGGUGAAGAUGUGGAGAAAUAAGCACCCAGGACACUGCUGGUGGUAAUGGGAAAUUGUCGAGCCCCUAUGGAAAACUGAUGAAUCUUCAGACUGUUAAACAGAAUCAGCACAUGAUCCUAUAGUUUCACCCAUAGGUAAUUACACCAAAACUUUCAACAGAUUCUUAAACAUGGGCACUCCUGUUGGGAGCAGAACUACUGAUAAGAGUAAACGGGGGAAUAGCCCAAAUGCUCAUAACUGGAUGAAUACAUAAAUAAAGUGUGGCAUAAACAUUGGAUGAAAUGAACAUUAUUGAGUGACAAAAAUGCUGGAACAUGUUACAGUGUGCAUGAAAUUGCAGAACACUUUGUUAAGGAACAAAAAAUAAAAUGUACACAGUAUCAUAACAUUUAUAUGAAAUUUGACAAUUGAUAAAUCCAUACCUAUUGUAAGAGAAAUCACAUUUGUUAUUUCCAGGGUCUUGAAGGUGGAAAGAAUGGGAGAAAUUGCUUAAUGGGUAAAGGAUUUUUAUUUCAAAGUUAUGGAAAAACUUUGGAACUGGAUACAGAUUGUGGAUGAAACACACUGUGAAUGUACUAAAAUGCCAUAUAGUUGUUUGCUACACAAAUUUUAAUUUUGUGUUAUUUCAUGUCAGUCAAUCAAAAACACUCUAGAAAGUGGACUGAUGUUCAUGUAUGUUCAUAAAUAUUAUUUCUUCAAUAAUACAACCAAUAUAACAUUUUCUAAACUGUAAAAGAGAACAGACAAUAAUUGCUAACUUUAUUAUUCCUCUUGUAGCAGUAUUGUGUGAGAUAUACAGUAACAAAAAAGUAUCUGUGCCUUUUUAAUGUAUGUUACACUGUCUCAGAAAAAAUUCUAAGUCCAAAAGAAACUGGUAAAACAAACAUGUAAAUUUAGUUUGUAAUCUUAUAAUCCCAAUAAAAAUUAAUGGCAUGUUGACUUGCUUUCUUAGAAUGAAUUUUCACAUGUUACUGAUUCAAAGAAGUAUAUUAGAUGAUACCUUUUACUUUUGUGCUCUUCGGUUUUCAGAUAUAGUCAAUAAAUUUCAUGAAAAAAUUUUAUUUCAUGCUUCUUUUUAAUUUCAGCUGUUUAAAAAUAUAAUUUGUG
rnacentral:lncRNA from 1 species